rnacentral:rRNA from 1 species
UUCCGGUUGAUCCUGCCGGAGGCUACCGCUAUUGGAGUUCGAUUAAGCCAUGCGAGUCGAGAGUCCUCGGGACUCGGCGUACCGCUCAGUAACACGUGGGUAACCUGCCCUAUGCUGGGGAAUAACCUCGGGAAACUGAGAAUAAUGCCCCAUAGCCCACUACGCCUGGAACGGUGAGUGGGUCAAAGCCCCGGCGGCAUAGGAUGGGCCUGCGCCGUAUCAGGUUGUAGGGGGUGUAAAGUACCCUCUAGCCAUCAACGCGUACGGGUGUUGGGAGACAUUGCCCGGAGAUGGAUUCUGAGACACGAAUCCAGACCCUACGGGGUGCAGCAGGCGCGGAAACUUGGCAAUGCGAGAAAUCGUGACCAGGGAACUCCAAGUGCGUAGGGUAAGACCUACGCUUUUCUUGACUCUUCAAAGGUCUUGGAAUAAGGGGUGGGUAAGGACGGUGCCAGCCGCCGCGGUAAUACCGGCGCCUCAAGUGGUAGUCGCUUUUAUUGGGCCUAAAACGUCCGUAGCCGGUCUGGUGCAUUCGUGGGUAAAUCAACCCGCUCAACGGGUUGAAUUCUGCGAGCA